ACUGAUGCCAGAGUAGAUGUGGCUGCUGAGUCACAUGUGUGUUAAUAGCUGGCAGAGAGGAGAGAGGCUAUAUCUACACUCAGUAUUCUGACGUCUGAACAUGUGAAUGAUUAGUAGACUAACAGU